GAAAUGCGAUAAGUAGUGUGAAUUGCAGAAUUCCGUGAAUCAUCGAAUCUUUGAACGCACAUUGCGCCCAUUAGUAUUCUAGUGGGCAUGCCUGUUCGAGCGUCAUUUCAACCCUUAAGCCUAGCUUAGUGUUGGGAAUUUACAGUUAUGUAAUUCCUGAAAUACAACGGCGGAUCUGUGGUAUCCUCUGAGCGUAGUAAAUUAUUUCUCGCUUUUGUUAGGUGCUGCAGCUCCCAGCCGCUAAACCCCCAAUUUUUUGUGGUUGACCUCGGAUCAGGUAGGAAUACCCGCUGAACUUAA
rnacentral:misc_RNA from 1 species